UCUUCUGGAUCCUUGACGGUAUAACGUUGACCGAUGCUCAGUAGUUUCGGGAUUGGUCAAGUAUGGUACAAACAAGGGUCAAUUCAAAUACAGGGGUAAUCAUUUAAAGGAUUUUAAAAUACUUUAGAAUCAUGGUGUAGUCAACUAGAAUUUAAAAAAAUUUCUAUAGAACCCAUCAUAGUCUGAAAUAUUGAUAAUAUCGACGAAAUAUCGAGGAUAUUUCGGUUUUUUCGAAUCACAGAUAUUUCGGAAUAUAUCCAUGUACAUAUCGUACAAAUAUCGACAAUAUCGACGAUAAUAUCGGAAAAUAUUGAUGUCGAUAAUUUCACUCACACUUGAGCAAUAUUUUGUCAAAAUAUCGGUGUAAUAUCGCUAAAAUAUCGAAAAUAUUGAUGUAAAGGAAGGAAAAAAAAAAGGCUAAAAUAUCGAAAAUAUCGAUGUAAAGGAAGGAAAAAAAAAGAAAAAGAAGAAAAAAAAGGGAAAAAAAACACAAAGGGGAUUUGAACCCCUCCUAUUUUACUCCUCCAACACCGUAACCACCAUAUAUCACUUAUGUUUUAGUGAUAAUGUGCUAAAAUAUUUAUAUUUAUAUAAGUGGCAUGUUAACAAUUACAUGUAAAACUAUUUUGGGGAUUUAUCAUUUGAUGAAUACUCUUCACAAAAAACUUACUCUACACAUAGAGAUGAUGAAGAUAGUGAAAAUUUUGAACCUCAUACGAACUUUAUGUGUUACUAAAUCAUUCAUGUAUCUUACCAUGCAAUGUAUAAAGUGUAAAAUAUUGUAGUAAAUCAUUAUAUAUAAAUGAUUAUGGUGUGUUUAAUUUUUUUUUUCAUUAAUUACUACAUAUUUUCUACACUCACAGUGUUUGCCAGCUCGCUGUAUAAUUAACUUAAAUCAGUUAAAUCCAUCAUGUAAUGCAUUUCCUUCUAAUUUUUUUUUUUUGUUAAACUAAUAGAUAAUUGACUAAAUAAACAUUAUCCAAAGUUUCAAUAAAAAUUUCCAAGUUUUUCUUACAAUUUCCAUGGUUUUUAUUCAAUUUUUAUCGAUAUUGAUAAUAUCCCGAUAUUUCCAUUGAAAUUUCCAUGUUUUUGGACUACCGAUAUUUCCAAUAUCAUCGAUAUUUUAUACCAUGGAACCCAUGCAAAUCUAUACGUAUUAAAAAAUUCAUAGAUUUUGAAAGAUUUAUUUCAAUAAGAGAUUUUAUACGAUUUGAGAAGGAUUGUAAGCAUAACAAAAUCUUACCUCACCCCUAGGAUUUCUUUUCAACCCUCACUUUCUUUCUCUAUCUGUAACGCCCCUGCCCCGAAUUUUUUAUUUUAUAUAUUUCGGCAAAUAAUCAUAGUAGACCUAACUAAAAUUAACAUAGCUAAUUUAUUUUCUUUCAUAACAUCCCUCUAAGUCCAAAUUACUUACUAUUACAAGUUAUCCAUAUUUUCUUAAAUGCCAAACAUACCUUUAAUUUAACAACUAAAAUCACUAUUAUUAGUCAUCGUUCUCCAAAUCAUUCUCUUCAUCCUGCAUAUAUUGGAUAAUAAUAUUCAUUUACCGAGAUAUAUAAUCUUGCUUCCAAAUUAGAACUAUUUCUGUCUCUUAGAUCAAGAUCCAUCUAUAUACUAAUUCUCGAAUACUUAAACACAUUUAAUUUUAUGGUUGCAUUUAACGUUUUAUUAGACUGCCUACGUACCCUCAAUAGAGAUCAAGCCAUUCGUAGUUCACCAAUUCAAAUUCAAUUAAUUAUGAAAUUCCAACUAUUUCUAAAAAUUCUCAAAAAAUACAGAAUUGAAGAUCUCAAAGAGUAGAGCAAACUUUAUACCUGUGGCGGAAGCCCAAUUUGGCUUGGAAAGGCUCCAAUUUGCCUCCAACCCGUCGGAACCCUAGAAUUUGGGUGUCCCCGAUUUGUUAUCUCCGGUACUCCGCCGCUCCAACCAAGACUUGGGCUUUGUUCUAGAACUCAAAAGGAGUCUAUAGGUGGUUGUAAUUUAACCAAAAUGUUUCAGAUUUUGAUGGAUUUCGAGCAAAGAAGGUCGCGGCACCGAUGUGUUGUUUCCCAAAUUUCAAGACCAAAUUACAUGACUUUUGGGGUGUAAUAGGAAGAGGGAAGAUCGUGGCGAGGUUUCCAAGUGGUGAUUUGAUGCAAUUCACCAGAAAAAGGGGUGAAACCCCAUCGAAAAUGUGCAUGGCGCUGAUUGGGUCGGGUCACCAAGACCCAGGUCCCGAUCCCCCGUGUCUCUCUUCUCUCCUUUCUCCUCAU
rnacentral:lncRNA from 1 species